GGUGCUUACUUGCGACAGUGAGUAAUGAGUAAAAUGAAUCAACCACAAUGUUUUCAAUAACAAUUCUAUAUUACACAUGUGUUAAAUGCUACCCUGAAGAACCGAAGGAAUGUGCAAUCUGAACAGAAACAAAUGACAGUUGUUGGAUUAAGUUGGAUUAAGUUGGUAAAAGAGGCGCUGCCGUCGGUGGCGUGAAUAGUUUUUUGUUCUGUACUACGAUGUAUAAUAAAAUUUGUUGUACAUACAUACAUAUAUUCUCUCAAGCGUGCGUAUGAAGUCUAGAAAACCAAAGAAUACUUUAUUUUAUUUUAUUUUUUUGUAAUACGCGCGAAGUAUAUUAUGUCAUUGUUGUUUUGUUUGUGCUAAUAAAGCAGUAUUAUAUACUCACGUCGACUCCUUGUUAUUUGUAAGUUGAAUCCUGUGCAACAACAGUCUAACUAUAUUAAGGGGGGACCUCUAUGUAGAAGGUGUCAAAAAAGUCUUUUUUUUUUAUUGCUUAAAAAGUUACUUUGAACCCUCUAGAAUACGAAACGCAUUGGUAUUUGGCGUGGAGCACAAAGCUAUUGCUGUGAGAGCCUGCACCCGUGACCCACCUCCGCUCCGUUCCAAGACGCGCGCGCUGGUAUAAUGACCGGGGCGCUGUUUAUUUACUAUCCCUUUUGAAGUGCUUCUAUACCUGUAAUAGGGGUUAGUCAGAUGUUUCGGAAGAAGUAUUUAUGCGGAAUUUUCAAAGUAAUGCAGGUGGCAUUUUUAAUGAAGGGUAUUUUUCAAUCUUAAAAAUAAUGCAAGAAUUAAAGCUGACAAUUGGAAAACAAGCGAUGGAUUAUGCCGAGAAAUCCAACGAGGCGCAGCUCGUUGUCCACAAAAGAGGCCCGCAAAGCACAUAGAGAACAGCUGGCGGAACAAAAUGACUAUUUUGAGGAAGCUGAAGGGUUAUUGUACGGUACUGGAAUAGCAGACUAGCCAGUAAGUCACAAAAUCAUACAUUUUUCUCUUACCGAAACUUUAAACGCGAUUUUCUCGAAACUUUUUUUCGCGAAGCUGAAAAUCGGUGUACACGAUUACUCAAAAACUACUCAACUGAUCGGACUGAAAUUUUGUACACAUUUUAAGGGUAGUAGUGUCUCCUGGAUGAACCUACAAGUAAGGUAAAAUCACAGAAAUAAACAUUUUUUUUACUGCAGAAAAGAGUACAGUGUUCCGUCAAAAUAAGUAAGCUUUUUGUUCUGAGGUCUGCCAUUUUUCCAAUUUUGAAUUUUUACUACAACUAUAUACUAAUCAGAUUUCUUUGCUUGGCUGUUUCGAAUAAUCAGAACCGACACUAGAGUGUAUACCGUUUUGCAAGAAACUUUACGACGCUUCGAACAUAUGCUGUAUCUCCGCCAUUUUGUAUUUUAUUUACACAAAAAAAUUGCAAAAUGAAGAUGAAGUAUCUAUUAAAUAGUCCUCAAAACCUUGAAAAUAUU